rnacentral:rRNA from 1 species
AUGAACGCUGGCGGCGUGCCUAAUACAUGCAAGUCGCGCGAACGGACGAGAAGCUUGCUUCUCUGAUGUUAGCGGCGGACGGGUGAGGAACACGUGGAUAACCUACCUAUAAGACUGGGAUAACUUCGGGAAACCGGAGCUAAUACCGGAUAAUAUUUUGAACCGCAUGGUUCAAAAGUGAAAGACGGGCUUGCUGUCACUUAUAGAUGGAUCCGCGCUGCAUUAGCUAGUUGGUAAGGUAACGGCUUACCAAGGCAACGAUGCAUAGCCGACCUGAGAGGGUGAUCGGCCACACUGGAACUGAGACACGGUCCAGACUCCUACGGGAGGCAGCAGUAGGGAAUCUUCCGCAAUGGGCGAAAGCCUGACGGAGCAACGCCGCGUGAGUGAUGAAGGUCUUCGGAUCGUAAAACUCUGUUAUUAGGGAAGAACAUAUGUGUAAGUAACUGUGCACAUCUUGACGGUACCUAACCAGAAAGCCACGGCUAACUACGUG